GGGGGCUGCAUGAAAAGGUUUGAAAAAAUUGCAUAGAUGUAUAAUUUGAAAUAAAUGUUAUACCAAAUCCAUCUCGUCUCAAGUUUUCAAGCGAACAUAUUAAGAACAAAAAGCAGCAGAAAAGCAUUGCUGCGCACCAGAAAGACCUCUUCCAUUAUGAAGCUUUUAAAUCAUCCAUGCCAACACUAGCCAGGAAUUUGUGAUUCUCUUCAAGAAAAGGUGAAAAGGUUGCACAAAAGUUUUCCAUGUCAGAACCAAUAUCACCUGAGCCGGCUAUCACUUCCAUGAACUUCUUCCUAUCUGGAGCAAGCUUCAUAGCAACAGUGAAACUUGAACUAGCAAGCCAGCCGUGAAAUUUUUUCAGCGUCUUGCCAUAGGAAUCUGUACAGGCUUGUGACAUUGUCCAGUCUGCAUAAGCAAGUAAAUUGCGGAACAGUUCCACUAGGAAAUCCAUUGCUCUGGUUAGCCAAAGGAGACCAUUGGUACAACUAGAUGAUCCUUUGGCCGUUUUAGCAUCAACCUCCUCUUGAACCAUAGUGUACAAGUGGGUGUAUUUA
rnacentral:misc_RNA from 1 species